rnacentral:misc_RNA from 1 species
UCGUAACAAGGUUUCCGUAGGUGAACCUGCGGAAGGAUCAUUACCGAGUGCGGGUCCUCGUGGCCCAACCUCCCACCCGUGACUAUUGUACCUUGUUGCUUCGGCGGGCCCGCCAGCCCUGCUGGCCGCCGGGGGGCGUCUCGCCCCCGGGCCCGUGCCCGCCGGAGACCCCAACAUGAACCCUGUUCUGAAAGCUUGCAGUCUGAGUGUGAUUCUUUGCAAUCAGUUAAAACUUUCAACAAUGGAUCUCUUGGUUCCGGCAUCGAUGAAGAACGCAGCGAAAUGCGAUAACUAAUGUGAAUUGCAGAAUUCAGUGAAUCAUCGAGUCUUUGAACGCACAUUGCGCCCCCUGGUAUUCCGGGGGGCAUGCCUGUCCGAGCGUCAUUGCUGCCCUCAAGCCCGGCUUGUGUGUUGGGUCCUCGUCCCCCGGCUCCGGGGGACGGGCCCGAAAGGCAGCGGCGGCACCGCGUCCGGUCCUCGAGCGUAUGGGGCUUUGUCUUCCGCUCUGCAGGCCCGGCCGGCGCCCGCCGGCGCAAUUUUUUGCAACCUUUUAUUUUUCCAGGUUGACCUCGGAUCAGGUAGGGAUACCCGCUGAACUUAAGCAUAUCAAUAA